GGCCGGAGUUGGUGGACGGCUUGAGGCGAGGAGCCCUCCCUUCUGGUUCCUUAUGUUGACCGGAUGUCGUCCGCACUAGGCC